rnacentral:rRNA from 1 species
AUUGAACGCUGGCGGCAGGCCUAACACAUGCAAGUCGAGCGGAUGACGGGAGCUUGCUCCUUGAUUCAGCGGCGGACGGGUGAGUAAUGCCUAGGAAUCUGCCUGGUAGUGGGGGAGAACGUUUCGAAAGGAACGCUAAUACCGCAUACGUCCUACGGGAGAAAGCAGGGGACCUUCGAGCCUUGCGCUAUAAGAUGAGCCUAGGUCGGAUUAGCUAGUUGGUGGGGUAAUGGCUCACCAAGGCGACGAUCCGUAACUGGUCUGAGAGGAUGAUCAGUCACACUGGAACUGAGACACGGUCCAGACUCCUACGGGAGGCAGCAGUGGGGAAUAUUGGACAAUGGGCGAAAGCCUGAUCCAGCCAUGCCGCGUGUGUGAAGAAGGUCUUCGGAUUGUAAAGCACUUUAAGUUGGGAGGAAGGGCAGUAAGUUAAUACCUUGCUGUUUUGACGUUACCGACAGAAUAGGCACCGGCUAACUCUGUGCCAGCCGCCGCGGUAAAAC